UUUAUAUAAUGGAUAAUGUUCCAUUCAUCUAGUUCCAUACUAUUGUUUCACCAUAAUAACAUGUUCGGUUCAUCCUGCAGACCAGGUGUGUUGUGGAUGAACAAUUUGUCCCAAAGGUGGAGAUGAUUUUCAAGACACUAGAAAAGCCAGAAAGUUCUACAAAUAUUAUUCCAAACUUGCCAAUUUUUCUACCAAAAUAAGAAACACGACUCAGAAGGGAGACGAGGUUAAGAAUCAACUAAUCGUAUGCAGCAGAGAGGGGAGAUGAAAAUCCAAGAUAUCUCCAACUCUGAAGACAAACCCCUCAGUCGGCAUAAACUGUCCAGCCAGGAUCUACGUACAUAUAAUGAAGGACGUCGGUCUCUGAAUAAUUUCCAAAGUUGUUCUGAAUUACUCACACCACUGCUGUCCAGACCGUGCAGAGAUGCUCAAACAACAUAGGGAGCUAAGCAUGUUCGUGCGUCGAACCAUCGAAACCAACGAGGAAGCCAAAAUCAGACCAAGCAAAACUUAUCAAUCGUUUGUAGCAACAGCCGGUAGUCACCGAAAACUCAGUUUUAUAAAAAAAGACGUGAGGAAUUACAUCACAAGGAAAGUACGGAAUGUUUCCGAACAAGACGAUGCCAAAGAAUUGGGAAGCACCUACUAAGAAUGAAAAAGAAGAACCAAAAUUUAUUUUUUGAGCUCAAUCUCGAAGGCGAUCACUCCAUCAAACAUGCAUUCUGAGCCGACGCAAGAAGCAAGGCUGCAUGCGAGUAUUUCGGAAACGUGGUUUCAUUCGACACUACCUACAACACAAACAGGUAUUUGGUUCACCCAAAUUCAGUCUUUAUGUUCACCAAAUCCACACAUUUCGGUUCAUCACAUUGUGAGAGUGUUGAUUUAUGCAGGUACAAUCUGGUUUUUUGUUCUUUUGUGGGCGUGAAUCACCACGGUUAGUCGACACUUCUCGGAUGCACGCUGAUGAAAAACGAGGACAUCCAAUCAUCAAAUGGCUAUUCGAGUGUUGGCUCCGUUGCAUGGGAGGGAAGGCACCAAAAGGCAUUCUCACCGACUAAUGCGCAUCGAUACAAAGGGCCAUCGAGAUGUGCAUGCCAACAACAAUUUACCGCUGGUGCAUCUGGCACAUCAUGAAGAAAAUUCCAAACAAACUAAAUGACUACAAAUGACAUGAAGAAAUCGAACAAGAGACUAGCUACGUCGUUUGGUCACAAAAGACGCAUUCGACAGAAAUUGGAAUGAUUUUCUCACAAAGUACGGCCUCGGAGGCAACAAGUGGAUCUCAGGUAACCGAGGUUUUAACUCAAAUUAUUUUCAUGCCUUUAUCUUUUGGGUCAAAACAUGCACAGAUUUCGGUUUAGUGCAGCUCAUUAGUUUGGUUCAUUCUGCAGAGCUGUACGAGGAACGCCAUAUAUGGAUUUUAGUUUACCUGGAUCACCACUUCUGGGCUGGGAUAAGAAGCAUACAAAGAAGCGAGAGCAUGGACGCAUUAUUCAAUAAGUUCUUCACACGCAACAGCUCCCUAAGUUAAUUUGUGAAGCAAUACGACAAUUGCCUAGCAAGUAGAGAGAAAAGAGAGAGAGAAUUUGACACUGCAGAUUUUCACACUGUGAUACCGUGCGCAACAAAAUUAGCAAUAGAGGCGCAGUUUCAGCACGUGUAUACCCACGAAAAGUUCAGGAAAGUUUAAGGACAAUUCAGAGGAAAAGUGAACUGUAUCACAAGAUCAGUGCAUUCCACCCUAGGUUUCACAACAUACGAAGUCAUAGAGCAGGUUUUCAACUCAACAUUCAACAAAUUUUUUGUCACCUACGAUGUAGUAUCACGAGAGGUAAAGUGCCAGUGCCUACUAUUCGAGUCAAGGGGGCAUACUGUGCCGCCAUUUUUUGAGCGUCCUAAGCUUCGUGUGAGUGGAUAACAUGGCACCAAAAUACAUACUGGAAUGCUGGAGCACGAACAUAAAGAGGAGGCACACACACAUCAAGAGUAGCGAAGACGAGCCUCUACUGGAGCUGAGAAGCAAGAGAUUCAAUGAUUUGGUGUUUCAGUCGCACAAUAUAUGCGAAUUUGCAUCCGAGUCUGAGGAGCUGACCGAAAUUCUGCACCGGGCGUUUGAUAAUGUCAUGGCCGAGAUGCAAGAAUAUCAAGAGGGAAGCAAAGGAAAAAGUUCGUUAUCCCACAAAGAAGCGACGUUGAGCGACGUGAACGACCUUCAAAGCUCGCCACGUGUCAGAACAACAGGCCGGUCCAAGAACAGACUUGGAUCAAACUUGGAAAAAAAAAGAUCUCAAACGCCACGAAGAAAAAGAAAAAGCCAGCUCUAAGCGAGCUGAAUCUUUUAAACGGCGGACCGACAAUUCAGUCAAGUUCUAGCUUUUAUAAUGCACCAGAUAUGAAUUAUCCCAAAGAGGAUUAUACGAGUUUCAGUUUUCAUUAACAUAAAUUUUCUUUCAUCUAUGAGUAAAUUUUAGUUCACUGAAGUUAUAGGAGGUUUAAUUUCUAACUGUUGUUAGUUUUUAUUGCAUAGUCACUUUUUUUGUUUUUUAUAUUAGCUUUUGUGAAAUUCUUUAUUAAAUAGUCACUUUUUUAUU